UCAAUCUAAACUCGUUCCACCA
rnacentral:siRNA from 1 species